ensembl:lncRNA
GAAUACUUCCCCUGAGCUGUUAGCUCAGGGGUCUGCCCCACCCACUGGAACAUUGACUUAAUACAGUUCAGCCAAGAUAGGCAGCCCACUCUAGGACUGCCCUACCCAACAGCAGGCCCUCAGGCAACUUGUGGGCCUACAUAGGCUGGAUUUGCACUUUUUGCUUCGCCUUGCAGAUGAAGUGUCAUCCAAUAGAUCCUGACUUUAUUUCAGUCUUAUACCUCUGUGUGCAAGAAAACGAUCAUCAGGAAAUCUCACAAGCAAAGUUUAAGGAGUACCCACCAAAAUAUCAAAUCAAUUCCCCACUGGAUACCAAAAAGUACAGUUGUAGUCUGUACCUACCUUUCUUGAGUCUGUGGGCUCUAUGACAGCUUCGAGUGUGGCAGAAGUGACACAUUAAGAAACCGGAAACUCCCACUUCCUGUCGCUUGGAACAUUCACUCUUCGAUGCCACCACUAUCCUGCGAGGAAGCUGAAGAAAGCCCUUGGAGAAAUCCACAUAAGGAGGAACUGAGGCCCUGAGCCAAUAGCUCUAGCUAAGCCCUCAGCUAUCAGCCAGCACAAAUUUAUCAGAUAUGUGAGUAGAUCUUCCGGCUCUCUUGAGUCACCACAGCUGACGGCACAUAGAGCAGCAAUGUGCACACAACAGAGCCCGUUUGUGUUCUUCAUCCACAAAGCCAUGAGAUAAAUAAAAUUCAUAUUUCAAGCCA